ACUCCUGCGGGAGGCAGCAGUGGGGAAUAUUGCACAAUGGGCGCAAGCCUGAUGCAGCCAUGCCGAGUGUAUGAAGAAGGCCUUCGGGUUGUAAAGUACUUUCAGCGGGGAGGAAGGCGAUAAGGUUAAUAACCUUGUCGAUUGACGUUACCCGCAGAAGAAGCACCGGCUAACUCCGUGCCAGCAGCCGCGGUAAUACGGAGGGUGCAAGCGUUAAUCGGAAUUACUGGGCGUAAAGCGCACGCAGGCGGUCUGUCAAGUCGGAUGUGAAAUCCCCGGGCUCAACCUGGGAACUGCAUUCGAAACUGGCAGGCUAGAGUCUUGUAGAGGGGGGUAGAAUUCCAGGUGUAGCGGUGAAAUGCGUAGAGAUCUGGAGGAAUACCGGUGGCGAAGGCGGCCCCCUGGACAAAGACUGACGCUCAGGUGCGAAAGCGUGGGGAGCAAACAGGAUUAGAUACCCUUGUAGUCCCA
rnacentral:rRNA from 1 species